rnacentral:rRNA from 1 species
CAAGAGCGUAUGUAAAAGUUGUUGCAGUUAAAAAGCUCGUAGUUGAACCUUGGGUUUGGUUGGCCGGUCCGCUUUUUUGCGAGUACUGGAUUCAACCGAGCCUUUCCUUCUGGCUAACCAGUCGUUUCGGCGGCUGGCGAACCAGGAUUUUUACUUUGAGAAAAUUAGAGUGUUCAAAGCAGGCAUUAGCUUGAAUAUAUUAGCAUGGAAUAAUAGAAUAGGACGUUAUGGUUCUAUUUUGUUGGUUUCUAGGACCAUCGUAAUGAUUAAUAGGGACGGUCGGGGGCAUCAGUAUUCAGUCGUCAGAGGUGAAAUUCUUGGAUUUACUGAAGACUAACUACUGCGAAAGCAUUUGCCAAGGACGUUUUCAUUAA